ACUCCUUGUUCAAACCCUAACAAGUCUAAAUCCAAGAAAUUAAAAGGCCAAAUCAGUCCCAAAUCGAAAUUCAAGCUCAUAUUAGUGAUCACCUAAGUGAAGGGAUCACAAGGCAAGGAAACCGAGUCUUCAAGCGGACAAGCCGGUGGCAAUACACGUUUGAAAGGAAAGCCUUGAAGGUGAUGUUGGUGAUACUUCGGAUGGCGAUCAAGCAAGAUGUCAAGAAUCGAACACAAUAUUUUUGAAGCUUCCGCGUUAACAUAUUUUGUUUAUACUGAUAUCAACAUGUAACUCUUGAUGCCACAUUUUGUACAUUUCAACCUUGUAGGGAUGUUAAUCAUGUAUGAACAUUAAUCUUAUCAAAGUUUUGUAAA